GGGGUUGUGGCUCAGCGGGAGAGCGCCCGUCUAGCAUGUAGGAGGCCCUGGGUUUGAUUCUCAGCACCA
rnacentral:tRNA from 1 species